UACGGAGGGUGCAAGCGUUGUUCGGAAUCACUGGGCGUAAAGGGCGUGUAGGCGGCCUGCUAAGUCUGAUGUGAAAGCCCGAGGCUUACCCUCGGAAGUGCAUUGGAGACUGGCAGGCUAGAGUCCCGGAGAGGAGGGUGGAAUUCCUGGUGUAGCGGUGAAAUGCGUAGAUAUCAGGAGGAACACCGGUGGCGAAGGCGGCCCUCUGGACGGUGACUGACGCUGAGACGCGAAAGCGUGGGGAGCAAACAGG
rnacentral:rRNA from 1 species